AUCUUUAUCUUUAUCUUGUAUGAAAAACGAGAAAUAAGAAACACUUAUGAACGGCAUCAUGACUUAGGGUCUUACUUAGGACAGGUGCAACAAUUAUACACUUAACGAUUGCCUUAUUUUUUAAUUAUGAAAAAAAAAAUCACAUCAACUGAUCACAAAUUCAUAUAAAAAAUAGAAAAUUGAACUGUCCAAUACCCAAAUGACAAACUUGUCAUAGCAUGUACCCAAGUCUUUAAAACCAAAGACUUUCGGAACAAGAAAAUU
rnacentral:lncRNA from 1 species